rnacentral:rRNA from 1 species
ACGGAGGGUGCAAGCGUUAUCCGGAUUUAUUGGGUUUAAAGGGUGCGCAGGCGGACCUGUCAGUCAGUGGUGAAAACCCGGGGCUCAACUCCGGAACUGCCAUUGAUACUGCAGGUCUUGAAUUCGGUUGAAGUGGGCGGAAUGUGUCAUGUAGCGGUGAAAUGCAUAGAUAUGACACAGAACACCGAUCGCGAAGGCAGCUCACUAAGCCGACAUUGACGCUCAUGCACGAAAGCGUGGGGAGCGAACAGG